rnacentral:rRNA from 1 species
UACGUAGGGGGCAAGCGUUGUCUGGAAUUAUUGGGCGUAAAGAGCGUGUAGGCGGUCCGGUAAGUCGGCUGUGAAAGUCCAGGGCUCAACCCUGGGAUGCCGGUCGAUACUGCCGGACUAGAGUUCGGAAGAGGCGAGUGGAAUUCCCGGUGUAGCGGUGAAAUGCGCAGAUAUCGGGAGGAACACCUAUGGCGAAGGCAGCUCGCUGGGACGUUACUGACGCUGAGACGCGAAAGCGUGGGAGCAAACAGG